CCUACGGGUGGCAGCAGUGAGGAAUAUUGGUCAAUGGGCGGAAGCCUGAACCAGCCAAGUCGCGUGAGGGAAUAAGGCCCUACGGAUCGUAAACCUCUUUUGCCGGGGAGCAAGGGCGGGGACGUGUCCCGGCCCGGAGAGUAACCGGCGAAUAAGCAUCCGCUAAAUCCGUGCCAGUAGCCGGGGUAAUACGGAGGAUGCGAGCGUUAUCCGGAUUUAUUGGGUUUAAAGGGUGCGUAGGGGGGCUUUUAAGUCAGCGGUAAAAAUUCGGGGCUCAACCCCGGCCGGUCGGUGAAACUGGGGGGCUUGAGUGGGCGAGAGGAAGGCGGAAUGCGUGGUGUAGCGGGGAAAUGCAUAGAUAUCACGCAGAACCCCGAUUGCGAAGGCAGCGUUCCGGCGCCCUACUGACGCUGAGGCACGAAAGUGCGGGGAUCGAACAGGAUUAGAUACCCUGGUAGUUC
rnacentral:rRNA from 1 species